rnacentral:rRNA from 1 species
CCUGAGAAACCCAAAAGAUCGAAUGGGGAGAUUCAUCGUCAGCGGUUCCGGUGCGUGUGCGGUUCGGGAUUCCGCGGGGCCUCGGCCUCGCGGGACUCGUCCGCAUUGUUUUAUUAUGCCGGAACUCGUCGACGUGCACUUCUCCCCUAGUAGGACGUCGCGACCCGUUGGGUGUCGGUCUACGACCCGGGUGUACGUCUGUCGCGCUUCGCUUUGCGCAAUGCGGCAGAUCUCCGGAUGUCUGACCGACUGCCCGGCGGUACUCGCACGGUAUCGGGCCGCAUAUUUGAACUGCGUCCGGCCUUUCGCAAGCGCGGACAAGUCUUUCUCGGACGUACGGACCUAGUGCCGUCGCCGGAACUGUCCAGCUGUUGGUCGAAUGUGCUCUCGGACUGGCUCUUAAUCAGCAUACCGGUCGGCGACGCUACUGCUUUGGGUACUUUCAGGACCCGUCUUGAAACACGGACCAAGGAGUCUAACAUGUGCGCGAGUCAUUGGGAUAUUAAAAGCCUAAAGGCGCAAUGAAAGUGAAGGUCGGCCUUGCGCCGACCGAGGGAGGAUGGGCAGCGUUUAAGAUGCUGUCCCGCACUCCCGGGGCCGUCUCGUUCUCAUUGCGAGAAGAGGCGCACCCAG